AAAUCCCCGGGCUUAACCUGGGAACUGCAUUUGUGACUGCGAGACUUGAGUGUAGCAGAGGGGGGUAGAAUUCCACGUGUAGCAGUGAAAUGCGUAGAGAUGUGGAGGAAUACCGAUGGCGAAGGCAGCCCCCUGGGCUAACACUGACGCUCAUGCACGAAAGCGUGGGGAGCAAACAGGAUUAGAUACCCUGGUAGUCCACGCCCUAAACGAUGUCAACUAGGUGUUGGGGAAGGAGACUUCUUUAGUACCCCAGCUAACGCGUGAAGUUGACCGCCUGG
rnacentral:rRNA from 1 species